AGAAUCAACGCUGGCGGCGUGCCUAACACAUGCAAGUCGCACGAGAAAGGGACUUCGGUCCUGAGUACAGUGGCGCACGGGUGAGUAACACGUGAAUAAUCUACCUCCGAGUGGGGAAUAACUGAGAGAAAUCUUAGCUAAUACCGCAUAACACUUACGAGUCAAGGCAGCAAUGCGCUUGGAGAGGAGUUCGCGGCAGAUUAGUUAGUUGGCGGGGUAAUGGCCCACCAAGACGAUGAUCUGUAUCAGGCCUGAGAGGGCGCACGGACACACUGGAACUGAAACACGGUCCAGACUCCUACGGGAGGCAGCAGUGGGGAAUUUUGCGCAAUGGGGGAAACCCUGACGCAGCAACGCCGCGUGGAGGAUGAAAUAUCUUGGUAUGUAAACUCCUUUCGAUGGGAAGAUAAUGACGGUACCAUAGAAGAAGCCCGGCUAACUUCGCGCCAGCAGCCGCGUAA
rnacentral:rRNA from 1 species